AUUGAACGCUGGCGGAAUGCUUUACACAUGCAAGUCGAACGGCAGCACGGGGGCAGCCCUGGUGGCGAGGGGCGAACGGGUGAGGAAUACAUCGGAACGUGGCCGGUCGUGGGGGAUAACGUAGCGAAAGAUACGCGAAUACCGCAUACGAUCUGAGGAUGAAAGGGGGGGACCUUCGGGCCUCGGGCGAUGGGAGCGUCCGGUGUCAGAUUAGGUAGUUGGUGGGGUAAAGGCCUACUAAGCCGACGAUCUGUAGCUGGUCUGAGAGGACGACCAGCCACACUGGGACUGAGACACGGCCCAGACUCCUACGGGAGGCAGCAGUGGGGAAUUUUGGACAAUGGGCGCAAGCCUGAUCCAGCCAUUCCGCGUGCAGGACGAAGGCCUUCGGGUUGUAAACUGCUUUUGUACGGAACGAAAAGGCUCUGGCUAAUACCUGGGGCUCAUGACGGUACCGGAAGAAGAAGCACCGGCUAACUACGUG
rnacentral:rRNA from 1 species